rnacentral:tRNA from 1 species
AGGCACGUAGCUCAGUGGGAGAGCGCUACCUUGACGCGGUAGAGGUCGGCGGUUCGAGUCCCGCCCGUGGCCU